rnacentral:rRNA from 1 species
AACGAACGCUGGCGGCAGGCUUAACACAUGCAAGUCGAACGCAUCGCAAGAUGAGUGGCAGACGGGUGAGUAACGCGUGGGAACAUACCCUUUUCUACGGAAUAGCUCUGGGAAACUGGAAUUAAUACCGUAUACGCCCUACGGGGGAAAGAUUUAUCGGGGAAGGAUUGGCCCGCGUUGGAUCAGCUAGUUGGUGGGGUAAAGGCCUACCAAGGCGACGAUCCAUAGCUGGUCUGAGAGGAUGAUCAGCCACAUUGGGACUGAGACACGGCCCAAACUCCUACGGGAGGCAGCAGUGGGGAAUACUGGACAAUGGGCGCAAGCCUGAUCCAGCCAUGCCGCGUGAGUGAUGAAGGCCUUAGGGUUGUAAAGCUCUUUCACCGAUGAAGAUAAUGACGGUAGUCGGAGAAGAAGCCCCGGCUAACUUCGUGCCAGCCGCCGCGGUAAUAC